CUGUGUGACUGGGUAAUUCCUGGGAAGAAAGACUAUUAGCAAUAAGCAUGCUGAAUUACUCUCUUAUGAUGGAAGAGAAGUCACACCGAGGCCGGGAAAAGAGCAGAAGAGACAUCCUGAAGUCCACCAAGCGGACAUGGGCUCCCCUGGAUGAGCAGCUGCCCCCUGGCUCUGAGGAGGAGAGCCGCAGUCUCACCAACCCCCUGCUGGAAGAUUCGAAACAAGAAAUUAUUCAGCAGUGGCUGGACUCUGGAUUCUUUGUCUCUGUAAAUGAAAACUUUCAGCCCGCUGUCGACCACAUUGUUCCUUCUUCUGAAAAAGGAAUGGUCCAAAUGACUGUGAAAGACUACAUGAGAUCCCUGCAUCAGUUUUCAGAAACUCCCACUCUCUCCAGAGGGACCAGUUUCAACUCUUGCCAUUCUGCUGCCAGUAUACCACAAAGCAUUCCGGAAUGGCUGGAAUUUUGGGAAAAAGAUCCAGUGGAGAUUCUCUUGGAUCUGGGGUUUGGUGCUAAUGAGCCAGACAUCUGCACUCGAAUCCCAGCCAGAUUCCUGGGUUGUGGCUCAGCAGCCAGAGGAAUCAACAUCCCUGUUUUUCUUGAAGCUCAAAAGCAGCGAAUGGACACUGAGAACCCUAACUUGUACAGUCGUUUCCGACAGCUAGAAAUACUGGACCACGUGGCCAGUGCUUUCUCGUCUUUGCUGAACAAUGUUAACAUCCUGCAGAGCAAAGCUGAAGAGGAAGGUGAAGGGAGAGGUGUGCAAAGAACCUCAGUGAGUGAAGCCAAAGAACAUCGACGAAGAAUAGGUGAACUUUUUAGGAAAGGUUCAAAGCAGAACAUUAGAAAGGAUUAUAACCCGGGAGCAUCAGAGUCACUGGAGACAAUAGACAAAUUUUCUAUCGUCUCUACAGACCCAAGGGAGCGUGGAGCACAGGUAUCAGCUGUGACAAAGGAACAUGCCCGCAGUCAUUUGUCUCCUUCGGCAGAGCAUUGGUCUCCUCGAGCCUGUGACAGCUUAACACCUCAUCAUCCUCCCCAAGCUCUUCCGAGCAAACAGGGGCCUCAGUCAUCCAUGCUGACCAAGCAGGUUCCUCCUUCCUGUGUGGCUGAGGGGUCAGUCAAGGACAGAACUCGAAAGGAGAAUUCAAUUCAGACUAAUAAACUCAAGAGCUUGUCCCGUCUUUCAGGCAAAGCACCAGACUCCUUCGAAAUGGAAGAGGUCCAGAGCUUCGAAGAAGAGACCAGCAAUCCUGUUGACAUGACUUCUGGAACCAUAGGAGCCAUGGUGAACAGAGCAAACAGCUGCCAGUCUGACAGCAGCGGGUUCCUGGAGGAGCCGCCGGAGCCACCAGCCCUGCAGAUGCCCCCCUUGUCAAGCAGCCCGAGUCCUGCUGAGAACGGAUAUGAAACGCCAAGGGCUCAGAGCCACAGCUUAGAGUCCUGUCAGCAAGAGUCAGAUGAGUCUGAUUCCAAGAGUAUAGUGAGCACAUCUUUUUCAAGUCAAGACUGGAGUGUCUUGGAAGAGAAAGCCUCAGCCUCUAUGGUGGAGAAAGAGUCUCAGUCAGAGGGCAUGGGGUCAACCCCAGAGCUGUGGACCCAAGAUCUGGCCCUUGAUAAGAGCAUCCCUGGGGGAGAACUCCCAAGGAGAGGUGGCCAGCUGCACCAACUCCCACCCAUGCCCCAAACUGAAUACGAGGCCACUGCAGGCACAGUUACCUUCAAAGAUGGUAGCUCUAUGGGUGUUAGGAUGACACACAUCACAGAUGCAAAGGACGGGCUUCUGUGGCCUGAGCGAGCUGGGGAAGUAUAUGUGCACAACCACCCCUGUGAGUCUGUGAGACCACCCGGAACUGAUCCUGCUCCAGACAAGUCCCCUCAUGAUGACUCAGAGGCCCCAAGAGGAACAGAAGGCAGUAAACUCUGUCCUUCCAUCAACAAUGCCUUACUGAUGCAAAACAGUGUCUCGCAGCAUGUCCCCAAGCCCAGGGCAGCCACGUCCUAUACAAGGGAUCUUGUUCAAACUUCUGGAAUGUCCAUUCUCCAUCUAGAUAAGGUGGCUGGAGAUAGUCCCCGAGGGAGACCAGUGUGUAGAGCUUUGGGUCAAAUACCACCUAGGGAAGAAUCUGAGAUGGGAGACCUUCCUCCAGAUACUAACUUACAUGCUGCUAGCCCCAUGUCUGUGACAAUCCAGCUGUCCUCCAAACUGGCAUCACCUGCUCAGAAUGCUGUGGUCUUGGAAACAGAUUCUAGAGGAGCGAUUUUAAAAUGCACUGUGUGUGACCCUGUUACUGCAGCAGAACCAGGACUGGGGUCAGAAGCAAGACAGUUCAAUGAUGUUUCUGUUCAGACUGACGCAUGGGAGCCUCCGCCCUGGCACUGCUGUUCAGCUGCAGGUAAAAAGGCCCCGCCCCUCACCAAAUCUGUCUCUUUAGACACAGGCUUCCCCAGGAACUACCCAGGGGCCAUCUGCCAAGCUGCGCCCGCCCACUGCUGUAUCUAUUGCCAUCACCACCUCCGCUGCCCCACAGAGAGGCGAAGCCCCAGCUCCGUGUCUCCAACUUGUUGGCACUGCUUAUGCUUACAAAACCAUCUGGAAGCCCAGUUCAUGAAGACUUCGAAAGUCCUUCAGGACACCACAGCGAGAGAGCUGUAUUCUUGCACAGUCCAUGAGAUGGAAACAAUGAAGACAGUGUGCCAGAGUUUCCGGGAGCAUUUAGAAGAAAUUGAGCAGCACCUCAGAGGACAACAGGCACUCCUUUCCAGGGACAUGACAGAGGAGGAAAGGGAGGAGGCUGAGCAAUUGCAGACAUUACGGGAAGCCCUACGGCAGGAGGUGGAGGAGCUAGAGUUUCAACUGGGAGACCGGGCUCAGCAAAUCCGAGAAGGGAUGCUAUUGCAGCUUGAGCUUCUCACAGGGGAACCACCUGAAAACGACACAAAUCUACAUCCAUAUAACUGGACAGGAGAAAAGAGUGGCCGGACUCCAGCUGCUAAGAUCCACUCUGCCAUGCAUCCUGGCGCUGCCUUUGCUCCUGGUGAUGGCCAGCAGCCUCCCUGCUCAGGGACCCAUUUAGCUGCCUUUACUCAACCCUUCUUGGGCAGCAGUACCAGGAUGUCUCCUCCAUCAUGGGCAGAAUUAGAUCCAGGCCCUCCAUCAAAUUGUCCUGUUGGAGAAGAGGAUACAGAUGUCUUCCUCUAG
rnacentral:lncRNA from 1 species